rnacentral:rRNA from 1 species
CCUACGGGUGGCAGCAGUGGGGAAUAUUGGACAAUGGGCGAAAGCCUGAUCCAGCCAUGCCGCGUGUGUGAAGAAGGCCUUCGGGUUGUAAAGCACUUUCAGUGGGGAAGAAAGCCUUGGGGCUAAUACCCUCGAGGAAGGACAUCACCCACAGAAGAAGCACCGGCUAACUCCGUGCCAGCAGCCGCGGUAAUACGGAGGGUGCGAGCGUUAAUCGGAAUUACUGGGCGUAAAGCGCGCGUAGGCGGUCUGAUAAGCCGGUUGUGAAAGCCCCGGGCUCAACCUGGGAACGGCAUCCGGAACUGGCAGGCUAGAGUGCAGGAGAGGAAGGUAGAAUUCCCGGUGUAGCGGUGAAAUGCGUAGAGAUCUGGAGGAAUACCAGUGGCGAAGGCGGCCUUCUGGACUAACACUGACGCUGAGGUGCGAAAGCGUGGGUAGCAAACAGGAUUAGAUACCCGAGUAGUC